rnacentral:rRNA from 1 species
UGGGGAAUUUUGGACAAUGGGGGAAACCCUGAUCCAGCCAUGCCGCGUGAGUGAAGAAGGCCUUCGGGUUGUAAAGCUCUUUCAGCCGGAACGAAAAGGUUACGGUUAAUACCCGUGACUAAUGACGGUACCGGAAGAAGAAGCACCGGCU